AGCUGCACUAAAGAACUUGAGAGAGAGAGCUAAUUUAUUGGAAGGAAGGCAAAGAGGUCAGCCUGAGCUAGCUUGCUCUAGCCAGCUACUCUGCUCAAGGGGCGG
rnacentral:lncRNA from 1 species